rnacentral:hammerhead_ribozyme from 1 species
AUUCAGCCGACAAGUCCCAAAUAGAACUAAACGCGUGUCCUAGAU